rnacentral:rRNA from 1 species
AACGAACGCUGGCGGCAGGCCCAACACAUGCAAGCGAACGGAUCCUUCGGGAUUAGUGGCGCACGGGUGCGGAACACGUGGGAAUAUACCCUUAGGUGAGGAAUAAUGUCUGGAAACGGGCACUAAUACCUCAUAAUGACUUCGGUCCAAAGAUUUAUCGCCUAAGGAUUAGCCCGCGUCUGAUUAGAUAGUUGGUGAGGUAAUGGCUCACCAAGUCUACGAUCAGUAGCUGGUCUGAGAGGACGAUCAGCCACACUGGAACUGAGACACGGUCCAGACUCCUACGGGAGGCAGCAGUCGGGAAUAUUGGACAAUGGGGGAAACCCUGAUCCAGCCAUGCCGCGUGUGUGAAGAAGGCCCUAGGGUUGUAAAGCACUUUCGCCUGUGAUGAUAAUGACAGUAGCAGGUAAAGAAACCCCGGCUAACUCCGUG